GACGGAAGGUGCAAGCGUUGCUCGGAAUCACUGGGCGUAAAGGGUGCGUAGGCGGCCGUGCAAGUCUGGCGUGAAAGCCCCGGGCUCAGCCCGGGAAGUGCGCUCGAAACUGCGCGGCUCGAGUGCCGGAGGGGAGAGUGGAAUUCCUGGUGUAGCGGUGAAAUGCGCAGAUAUCAGGAGGAACACCGAUGGCGAAGGCGGGUCUCUGGGCCGUAACUGACGCUGAGGAGCGAAAGCGUGGGGAGCGAACAGG
rnacentral:rRNA from 1 species